rnacentral:rRNA from 1 species
AUUGAACGCUGGCGGCAUGCCUUACACAUGCAAGUCGAACGGCAGCACGGGAGCAAUCCUGGUGGCGAGUGGCGAACGGGUGAGUAAUAUAUCGGAACGUGCCCAGUCGUGGGGAUAACGUAGCGAAAGCUACGCUAAUACCGCAUACGAUCUAUGGAUGAAAGCGGGGGAUCGCAAGACCUCGCGCGAUUGGAGCGGCCGAUAUCAGAUUAGGUAGUUGGUGAGGUAAAGGCUCACCAAGCCGACGAUCUGUAGCUGGUCUGAGAGGACGACCAGCCACACUGGGACUGAGACACGGCCCAGACUCCUACGGGAGGCAGCAGUGGGGAAUUUUGGACAAUGGGCGCGAACGGACCUCGAUCCAGCAAUGCCGCGUGCAGGA